AUCAUUCCUUCCAAUCACAGCACAAGUUUCCUUGAGCCACCAACAUGAAGAAACUUGUCGGUUUGAUGAUCCCAUGUCUUCUAAUACUUACACUCCUUGUUUCUUACAAUCUAUCUACUUGUACCUCUCCCUCCCAGUCCUCAGCAGUAGAAGGCCAAAAUCUCCGCAGGCUGAUAGGGAAGGAGCUCGUCUUCUCAGGAAGAAACACUGAGAUAACUCAAGGGAAAGAGAAACCUGAAAUCGAGAUCGAUCCGAUAGGCGUUCGGCACAAAGAUGAAGAGGAAGGUAUGGUUUACAAUGCGGAUUAUCGUGGAGUGACAACCCAUCCUUCUCCAUUACCCAAGCAUCCUAAACCAUAGCUUGCUCACGAGCCUUACAUAAACAUGUUUUGUUCAUCACACAAAUAUGAAAUAGUAUGUGCUUCAUUGUUGGAAUAUGAUGCAACACGGAGGAAUCUUCAGGUCCAAAGAAGAUCCCUCGACCAUGCUAUCAGUAAGAUCACAAGUGCAAAUA